rnacentral:rRNA from 1 species
UAAUACGGAGGGUGCAAGCGUUAAUCGGAAUUACUGGGCGUAAAGCGCACGCAGGCGGUUUGUUAAGUCAGAUGUGAAAUCCCCGGGCUCAACCUGGGGAACUGCAUUUGAAACUGGCAAGCUAGAGUCUCGUAGAGGGGGGUAGAAGUUCCAGGUGUAGCGGUGAAAUGCGUAGAGAUCUGGAGGAAUACCGGUGGCGAAGGCGGCCCCCUGGACGAAGACUGACGCUCAGGUGCGAAAGCGUGGGGAGCAAACAGGAUUAGAUACCCUGGUAGUCCACGCUGUAAACGAUGUCGAUUUGGAGGUUGUGCCCUUGAGGCGUGGCUUCCGGAGCUAACGCGUUAAAUCGACCGUCCUGGGGAGUACGGCCGCAAGGUU